CGGAACGGGUGAGUAACGCGUGAGGAACCUGCCUCAAAGAGGGGGACAACAGUUGGAAACGACUGCUAAUACCGCAUAAGCCCACGGUGCCGCAUGGUACAGAGGGAAAAGGAGCAAUCCGCUUUGAGAUGGCCUCGCGUCCGAUUAGCUAGUUGGUGAGGUAACGGCCCACCAAGGCGACGAUCGGUAGCCGGACUGAGAGGUUGAACGGCCACAUUGGGACUGAGACACGGCCCAG
rnacentral:rRNA from 1 species